rnacentral:rRNA from 1 species
UCCUACGGGAGGCAGCAGUGGGGAAUAUUGCACAAUGGGCGCAAGCCUGAUGCAGCCAUGCCGCGUGUGUGAAGAAGGCCUUCGGGUUGUAAAGCACUUUCAGUCGUGAGGAAGGUAGUGUAGUUAAUAGCUGCAUUAUUUGACGUUAGCGACAGAAGAAGCACCGGCUAACUCCGUGCCAGCAGCCGCGGUAAUACGGAGGGUGCGAGCGUUAAUCGGAAUUACUGGGCGUAAAGCGCAUGCAGGUGGUUUGUUAAGUCAGAUGUGAAAGCCCGGGGCUCAACCUCGGAAUAGCAUUUGAAACUGGCAGACUAGAGUACUGUAGAGGGGGGUAGAAUUUCAGGUGUAGCGGUGAAAUGCGUAGAGAUCUGAAGGAAUACCGGUGGCGAAGGCGGCCCCCUGGACAGAUACUGACACUCAGAUGCGAAAGCGUGGGGAGCAAACAGGAUUAGAUACCCUGGUAGUCCACGCCGUAAACGAUGAGUGCUAAGUGUUAGAGGGUUUCCGCCCUUUAGUGCUGAAGUUAACGCAUUAAGCACUCCGCCUGGGGAGUACGGCCGCAAGGCUGAAACUCAAAUGAAUUGACGGA